ACAAAUCCUUCGAAUAUAAAUUAAGGCAACCAUUAGUCCAUAGGAAUUGUCACGAAUUACCAAAACCACAUCUCGAGAAAUAUGCUCUAACAAUCUCCCCCAUUUUGGUAAUUUAUGACAAUCACUUUCAAGAGAGUUUAUACAAGGAAAUAUGCAUAACCAAGCACACACAUACAAAUGCAUCGGUUUGAGAUGCAAAUGCAUA
rnacentral:lncRNA from 1 species